rnacentral:pre_miRNA from 1 species
AAACUUUAUAUGAAUCCGAUCAUUCUACAGGAUCGAAUCAGUUUGUAAAUUUGUAAACUAUCUCUUCAACUAAUUCGAUUCUUUAGAGUAUUUGAUUUCAUUUUAUUCCUCG